rnacentral:tRNA from 1 species
AUUUUAUUAGUAUAAAUUAGUAUGUUUGUUUUCCAAACAAAUGGUUUAAAUUAGAAUUAAAUAAAAUA